GGAAGGACCAUAGCUCAGAAGAAGCAUAUCUGCUUUGCAUGCAGGAGGUUCCGGGUUCAAUCCCCAGCAUUUUUCCA